CCUACGGGUGGCAGCAGUGAGGAAUAUUGGUCAAUGGGCGCGAGCCUGAACCAGCCAAGUAGCGUGAAGGAUGACUGCCCUACGGGUUGUAAACUCCUUUUAUAAAGGAAUAAAGUGCGGCACGUGUGCCUUUUUGUACGUACUUUAUGAAUAAGGAUCGGCUAACUCCGUGCCAGCAGCCGCGGUAAUACGGAGGAUCCGAGCGUUAUCCGGAUUUAUUGGGUUUAAAGGGAGCGUAGUUGGGUUGUUAAGUCAGUUGUGAAAGUUUGCGGCUCAACCGUAAAAUUGCAAUUGAUACUGGCAGGCUUGAGUACAGGUGAGGUAGGCGGAAUUCGUGGUGUAGCGGUGAAAUGCUUAGAUAUCACGAAGAACUCCGAUUGCGAAGGCAGCUUACUAAACUGCAACUGACAUUGAUGCUCGAAAGUGUGGGUAUCAAACAGGAUUAGAUACCCUAGUAGUC
rnacentral:rRNA from 1 species